CCCUUAGAUGUUCUGGGCGGCCCGCGCACUACAAUGGCGUGUGCAGCGAGUGCCGAAGUAGAGUUUUCCGAGGUAUUCUUGCAAUGCUCGUUUUGAUGGGGAUAGACCCUUGCAACUGUUGGUUUUGAACGAGGAACUCCUUGUAAGCAUGGUUUAUCAUCCGACGCUGAAUGCGUCCCUGCCCUUUGUACACACCGCCCGUCGCUCCUACCGAUGAGUCGUCCGGUGAAGUUCGUAGACCUCGUGAUCGCGGAUCACUGGGGGAAGCAAAAUGAACCUCGCGGUUUAGAGGAAGGAGAAGUCGUAACA
rnacentral:rRNA from 1 species